UACGUAGGGGGCAAGCGUUGUCCGGAAUUAUUGGGCGUAAAGCGUCCGCAGGUGGCUAUGUAAGUCUGCUGUCAAAGCGUCUGGCUCAACCAGAUAAAGGCAGUGGAAACUACAUAGCUAGAGUAAGGUAGGGGUAGAGGGAAUUCCUGGUGUAGCGGUGAAAUGCGUAGAGAUCAGGAAGAACACCGGUGGCGAAAGCGCUCUGCUGGACCUUAACUGACACUGAGGAACGAAAGCUAGGGGAGCGAAUGGG
rnacentral:rRNA from 1 species